GACGCUAGCGGCAGGCCUUAUACAUGCAAGUCGGACGGUAACAUUGGUGCUUGCACCAGAUGACGAGUGGCGCACGGGUGCGUAACGCGUAUGCAACCUACCUUUUACUAGAGUAUAGCCCAGAGAAAUUUGGAUUAAUCCUCUAUAAUAUCUAUUAAUCUCAUGAUUUUUAGAUUAAAGUUUUAACGGUAAAAGAUGGGCAUGCGUCUUAUUAGUUUGUAGGUGAGGUAAUGGCUCACCUAGACUACGAUAGGUAGGGGCCCUGAGAGGGGGAUCCCCCACACUGGUACUGAGACACGGACCAGACUCCUACGGGAGGCAGCAGUAAGGAAUAUUGGACAAUGGACGAAAGUCUGAUCCAGCCAUGCCGCGUGCAGGAUGACAGCCCUAUGGGUUGUAAACUGCUUUUAUACAGGAAGAAACACUCCGACGUGUCGGAGCUUGACGGUACUGUAAGAAUAAGGAUCGGCUAACUCCGUGCCAGCAGCCGCGGUAAUACGGAGGAUCCAAGCGUUAUCCGGAAUUAUUGGGUUUAAAGGGUCCGCAGGCGGUCUUUUAAGUCAGAGGUGAAAGCCUACAGCUCAACUGUAGAAUGGCCUUUGAUACUGAAAGACUUGAGUUAUUGUGAAGUGGUUAGAAUGUGUGGUGUAGCGGUGAAAUGCAUAGAUAUCACACAGAAUACCGAUUGCGAAGGCAGAUCACUAACAAUAUACUGACGCUCAUGGACGAAAGCGUGGGGAGCGAACAGGAUUAGAUACCCUGGUAGUCCACGCCGUAAACGAUGGAUACUAGCUGUUCGUCUAACAUUGGUUAGAUGAGUGGCUAAGCGAAAGUGAUAAGUAUCCCACCUGGGGAGUACG
rnacentral:rRNA from 1 species